CCUACGGGGGGCAGCAGUGAGGAAUAUUGGUCAAUGGACGAGAGUCUGAACCAGCCAAGUAGCGUGAAGGAUGACUGCCCUAUGGGUUGUAAACUUCUUUUAUAAAGGAAUAAAACGAGGCACGUGUGCCUUUUUGCAUGUACUUUAUGAAUAAGGAUCGGCUAACUCCGUGCCAGCAGCAGCGGUAAUACGGAGGUGCCGAGCGUUAUCCGGAUUUGGUGGGUUUAAAGGGAGAGUAGAUGGGUUGGUUAGUCAGGUGUGAAAGUUUGCGGCUCAACCGUAAAAUUGCAAUUGAUACUGGCAGUCUUGAGUGCAGUUGAGGAGAGUGGAAUUCGAGGUGUAGCGGUGAAAUGCUUAGAGAUCACGAGGAACCCCGAUUGCGAAGGCGGCUUACUAAACUGUGACUGACAUUGAUGCUCGAAAGUGUGGGUAUCAAACAGGAUUAGAUACCCCGGUAGUC
rnacentral:rRNA from 1 species